ACGCUCGACACCUACGUGAGGCAGCAGUGGGGAAUAUUGCACAAUGGGGGAAACCCUGAUGCAGCGACGCCGCGUGAGCGAAGAAGUAUUUCGGUAUGUAAAGCUCUAUCAGCAGGGAAGAAGAAAGACGGUACCUGACUAAGAAGCCCCGGCUAACUACGUGCCGNNCGCGAGUAUNGNGGCGUGNGAGAG
rnacentral:rRNA from 1 species